UACGAAGGGGGGCUAGCGUUGCUCGGAAUCACUGGGCGUAAAGCGCACGUAGGCGGCUUUGUAAGUUAGAGGUGAAAGCCUGGAGCUCAACUCCAGAAUUGCCUUUAAGACUGCAUCGCUUGAAUCCAGGAGAGGUGAGUGGAAUUCCGAGUGUAGAGGUGAAAUUCGUAGAUAUUCGGAAGAACACCAGUGGCGAAGGCGGCUCACUGGACUGGUAUUGACGCUGAGGUGCGAAAGCGUGGGGAGCAAACAGG
rnacentral:rRNA from 1 species